CUAUCCUCCAUUUUUACCUUUGAUCCGCCGCCCUGAUUGCCGUUGGAAUCCUUCACUGCCGGCUGCGACCCACCGCUACCACCACCUCCGGUAAGCCCUCCUUCCUUCCCUUCUUUUGGGCCUUGGAUGCUGCCACUAGACAGCAAGGGGCAGCACUCCUUUUUUUUCCUUCUCUUGGCUCCCCUGUGCACGGCCAAACCGCCGCCUCUAGCCGCCUGCACUUCGGCCGCGCC
rnacentral:lncRNA from 1 species